UAGCUGUUGAAUUUAAAUAAUGGAGGUAGAACUACAGUAUAUUGAAAAAAACGUGAUUGAAAGUUGUCUGUUUUGCCAUUAAAACCUAUGGGGAUGGGUGGGGUUACACAGCUUUCUGCAACCGAACAGCAGGGGGCGCCCGACCUGUGGUGGCUUCACUUUUGAGAGACGAUGUUCUGUCCAGCUAUACUCAGUCUAUGGGCCUUACUUAUAUGUUGAGAUCACCAGCAUCCUUUAAUUCCGUAAGCUUUGGAAAAGAAAGAGACAUGAAAAGAUCAAAAGAAACCAGACAAGAUGCAGACAUCAAAGCCAGCUAGAGGCAGAGGAUGAGAGUGAGUCACGGCCAGACAGAGAGAGAAGAAAUAUGAAACCAGGUA